AGAGUUUGAUCCUGGCUCAGGAUGAACGCUAGCGGCAGGCUUAACACAUGCAAGUCGAGGGGUAACAGGUCUUUCGGGACGCUGACGACCGGCGCACGGGUGAGUAACGCGUAUGCAAUCUACCUAUAACAGGGGGAUAGCCCGAAGAAAUCCGGAUUAAUACCCCAUAAUAUUACGAAGAGGCAUCUCUUUGUUCUUAAAACUCUGGUGGUUAUAGAUGAGCAUGCGUGUCAUUAGCUAGUUGGUGAGGUAACGGCUCACCAAGGCAACGAUGACUACGGGGUCUAAAAGGAUGGUCCCGCACACUGGUACUGAGACACGGACCGGACUCCUACGGGAGGCAGCAGUGAGGAAUAUUGGUCAAUGGGCGCAAGCCUGAACCAGCCAUGCCGCGUGCAGGAUGACUGCCCUAUGGGUUGUAAACUGCUUUUAUACGGGAAGAACAUGGCCCACGUGUGGGCAACUGACGGUACCGUAUGAAUAAGCAUCGGCUAACUCCGUGCCAGCAGCCGCGGUAAUACGGAGGAUGCAGGCGUUAUCCGGAUUUAUUAGGUUUAAAGGGUGCGUAGGCGGGUUUGUAAGUCAGUGGUGAAAUCCUACAGCUUAACUGUAGAACUGCCAUUGAUACUGCAGACCUUGAAUUUUAGUUGAGGUAGGCGGAAUGUGUAGUGUAGCGGUGAAAUGCAUAGAUAUUACACAGAACACCAAUUGCGAAGGCAGCUUACUAAGCUACGAUUGACGCUGAGGCACGAAAGCGUGGGGAGCAAACAGGAUUAGAUACCCUGGUAGUCCACGCUGUAAACGAUGAUUACUCGUUGUUGGCAAUACACAGUCAGCGACUGAGCGAAAGCAUUAAGUAAUCCACCUGGGGAGUACGUUCGCAAGAAUGAAACUCAAAGGAAUUGACGGGGGCCCGCACAAGCGGAGGAACAUGUGGUUUAAUUCGAUGAUACGCGAGGAACCUUACCUGGGCUUAAAUGGCUUACAUCUUCGGAGAUGUCUGUUGAAAGACAGAUGAAAGAGUCAAGGUGCUGCAUGGCUGUCGUCAGCUCGUGCCGUGAGGUGUCGGGUUAAGUCCCAUAACGAGCGCAACCCCUAUUCUUAGUUGCCAGCGGGUAAUGCCGGGGACUCUAAGGAGACUGCCACCGUAAGGUGUGAGGAAGGUGGGGAUGACGUCAAGUCAGCACGGCCCUUACGUCCAGGGCUACACACGUGUUACAAUGGUCGGUACAAAGGGCAGCUACCUGGCAACAGGACGCUAAUCCUUAAAACCGGUCUUAGUUCGGAUUGAAGUCUGCAACUCGACUUUAUGAAGUUGGAUUCGCUAGUAAUCGUACAUCAGCAAUGGUACGGUGAAUACGUUCCCGGGCCUUGUACACACCGCCCGUCAAGCCAUGGGAGCCGGGGGUACCUGAAGUUCGUAACCGCAAGGAGCGACCUAGGGUAAAACUGGUGACUGGGGCUAAGUCGUAACAAGGUA
rnacentral:rRNA from 1 species